rnacentral:rRNA from 1 species
GGUUGGCUCAGAAGCAGCCAUCCUUUAAAGAGUGCGUAACAGCUCACUAGUCGAAUGACUCUGCGCCGAUAAUUUACCGGGGCUAAGCAUACUACCGAAGCUAUGGAUCCCAAGGGAUGGUAGGGGAGCGUUCCAUGAACGGAGAAGUACGACCGAAAGGACGUGUGGAGAUCAUGGAAGAGAGAAUGCCGGUGUGAGUAGCGGAACGUGGGUGAGAAUCCCACGCACCGAAAACCCAAGGUUUCCAGAGGAAGGUUCGUCCGCUCUGGGUAAGUCGGGACCUAAGGCGAGGCCGAAAGGCGUAGUCGAUGGACAACAGGUAGAGAUUCCUGUACCCGUAUAUAUGUGAAGGAAUGACGGAGAGAGGAAGCUGCAGCCAGCGGCUGGAAGAGCUGGUGCAAGCGAGAUAUCGGGAUGGCAGGCAAAUCCACCAUCCGAAACGAGAAGGCGUGAAGCGUACGGAAAGCUACGGCGAGUACGGAAGGCAGUGGAGGAACUUCCAAGAAAAGUUUCUAACGUAAAGUAUAUAUGGCCCGUACCGAAAAUGGACACACAUGGGUGAGGAGAGAAUCCUAAGGUGAGCGAGAGAACUAUAGCUAAGGAACUCUGCAAAAUGACUCCGUAACUUAGGGAGAAGGAGUGCUCAUAGAGAUAUGAGCCGCAGUGAAACGGCCCAAGCGACUGUUUACCAAAAACACAGCUCUCUGCUAAGCCGCAAGGCGAAGUAUAGGGGGUGACGCCUGCCCGGUGCUGGAAGGUUAAGGGGAGGGGUUAACGCAAGUGAAGCCCUGAACUGAAGCCCCAGUAAACGGCGGCCGUAACUAUAACGGUCCUAAGGUAGCGAAAUUCCUUGUCAGGUAAGUUCUGACCCGCACGAAAGGCGUAACGAUUUGGGCGCUGUCUCAGCUGUAGACUCGGUGAAGUCUUAGUACCUGUGAAGAUGCAGGUUACCCGCGACUAGACGGAAAGACCCCAUGGAGCUUCACUGCAGGUUGAUAUUGGGAUUUGAUGCAGCAUGUACAGGAUAGGUAGGAGGCAAAGAGAUGGAUACGCCAGUAUUCAAGGAGCCGCUGUUGGGAUACUACCCCUGUUGUAUUGGAUUUCUAACCGGACGACGUAGAGCCGUUGACGGGACAGUGUCAGUCGGGCAGUUUGACUGGGGCGGUCGCCUCCCAAAGAGUAACGGAGGCGCCCAAAGAUACCCUCAGCUUGGAUGGAAACCAAGCGCAGAGUGCAAAGGCAAAAGGGUGUUUGACUGCGAGACCCACAAGUCGAGCAGGGACGAAAGUCGGGCUUAGUGAUCCGGCGGUGCUGAAUGGAAAGGCCGUCGCUCAACGGAUAAAAGCUACCCUGGGGAUAACAGGCUGAUCUCCCCCAAGAGUCCACAUCGACGGGGAGGUUUGGCACCUCGAUGUCGGCUCAUCGCAUCCUGGGGCUGUAUUCGGUCCCAAGGGUUUGGCUGUUCGCCAAUUAAAGCGGUACGCGAGCUGGGUUCAGAACGUCGUGAGACAGUUCGGUCCCUAUCUGUCGUGGGCGCAGGAAAUUUGAGAAGAGCUGUCCUCAGUACGAGAGGACCGGGAUGGACGCAUCAAUGGUGGACCAGUUGUCACGCCAGUGGCAUAGCUGGGUAGCUAAAUGCGGAAGGGAUAAACGCUGAAGGCAUCUAAGUGUGAAACCCACUUCAAGAUGAGAUUUCCCAUUGCGCAAGCAAGUAAGACCCCUUAAAGACGAUAAGGUAGAUAGGUCAGGAGUGUAAGCAUGGUGACAUGUUAAGCGGACUGAUACUAAUAGGUCGAGGGCUUGACCG